rnacentral:rRNA from 1 species
GGAGCUUGCUCCCGGAUGUUAGCGGCGGACGGGUGAGUAACACGUGGGUAACCUGCCUGUAAGACUGGGAUAACUCCGGGAAACCGGAGCUAAUACCGGAUAGUUCCUUGAACCGCAUGGUUCAAGGAUGAAAGACGGUUUCGGCUGUCACUUACAGAUGGACCCGCGGCGCAUUAGCUAGUUGGUGGGGUAAUGGCUCACCAAGGCGACGAUGCGUAGCCGACCUGAGAGGGUGAUCGGCCACACUGGGACUGAGACACGGCCCAGACUCCUACGGGAGGCAGCAGUAGGGAAUCUUCCGCAAUGGACGAAAGUCUGACGGAGCAACGCCGCGUGAGUGAUGAAGGUUUUCGGAUCGUAAAGCUCUGUUGUUAGGGAAGAACAAGUGCGAGAGUAACUGCUCGCACCUUGACGGUACCUAACCAGAAAGCCACGGCUAACUACGUGCCAGCAGCCGCGGUAAUACGUAGGUGGCAAGCGUUGUCCGGAAUUAUUGGGCGUAAAGGGCUCGCAGGCGGUUUCUUAAGUCUGAUGUGAAAGCCCCCGGCUCAACCGGGGAGGGUCAUUGGAAACUGGGAAACUUGAGUGCAGAAGAGGAGAGUGGAAUUCCACGUGUAGCGGUGAAAUGCGUAGAGAUGUGGAGGAACACCAGUGGCGAAGGCGACUCUCUGGUCUGUAACUGACGCUGAGGAGC